CGCGCCCAGGCACUGCGGAGGGCCAGCCCCACGUGGGGGGUGGGGAGGGAUGCCCGCUCCGCCCCGUCCCCUCCGCGCCGGGCCUCGUCUCAGCCCGCCACGGAGUGGGCGGGACGCCAGGCAGGCGGGGGACGCGGCGGCUGCCAGCCAAGGGGCCGGAGCCAAGAGAUUUGCAUUGGAAGCGCCAUCCUCUUGCGCGUCUGAUGAGGAAGCAGAACCCGGUGACCGACUGAGCUGCAUUUCUGAAGCAUUUGCUGGGUUUUGCCUCACUAAGCCUCGGGGAGCACUGGGGCGCGGGAUGGGGGACCCUGUCACGGAGCCGACACCUGCUCGCGCGCCUCUCCCCCGCUCACGCCGUGCCGCGGGCUCGCCCUCCCCAUCUGCAGCGCCCGCAGCGCCUGCCCGCCCCGCCCAUCCUUCCUCCUGGGCAACCCAGAGGAUGGCGUGAGGACUCCUGGAAGCCCAGAGGACCGGACCAGGGGCGUGGUGGGGAGCCGUAGACCCGAGUUUUUAUCCUUCUCUGGCGCCGACACUCGGCUGCGGAAUCGAGUUUGAGCUCGGUGUAGCUGAAGUUUAAAUUGUAGCUGUUUCAAAGGUAGACCCCACCUCACCCCCACCCCUGGACCAAGACCUCUGGAAGCGUCCUGCCUGGAAGCCGCUUGUGGGGAGGGCUCUCCUAGGGUCUCCAGGCUCCCGCUGGAGCACGCCUGGAGAUGCCUUGGGAGUCUGAGGAACCCCAGAUUCAGCACCCCUGCUUAACCUGCUUUUAAGAAGAAAAAAAUGGAACUUGAUAAACUUCACUCAAAGGAGAGACCCACUAAUAACUCCACACACCUCACACCGAGUGAAGACGCUGAGACAAUGUAUGUGUGCUCCAGGAAUGACUGGAUGAAACAAAAAGAGAGUCUGGAUGCCAUUAAAAUGUUUGACUAUUGGAUUCCCACGGUUUGGGAUGGGAAGCAGAACUCGGUGAAACUGUAGGUUCUGUGUCCGGGCCAAGCGUUGCUGAAAGGUGGAAGAAUUCAUGGAAAGAAGGUUAUACCAGAAACCAAGAUCUGCUUUUUAAAAGGGAACAUGUACGCUCAUGUUUUGGCUUGAAUUCACUGCCUUUCACCUAUGUGUGGUCCCUCCUGUGCCGAGUCAGCAUGGAGUUCAGCAGGUGGUGGAAGACAAACAGCUCAGAGCUGGACUCAGAACUUGGCAGAGUCCUGCUUUCAACUACAUGCAGCCAGAAAACUCUGGAAAACUGAACUGUUUAUUGGGGUCAAACUUUGGUAAGUCCGAUAAAGUCUGGCUCCAGGUGUCAAUCUAGUCUCUUGAAAGAAUUGCCCAGAAGCUCACUGCUGACUGGCUGGAUGUUACCAGUGGCAUACAGCCUCUGCUUGUGGGUGGAAUCCGGCAGCUCGGACACCGCCCCACGGUUCCUGAUGCAAGCCUGGGCAGGAGCUAGAGCUAGGGGCUUGCAGCCAAGGAGGAGAUAAGUCCAGGGGAGCCCUGCAGGCUAUCAAACCAUCUGCCAGCUGGACUCGCUCCAGGCCACUGGUGACCCUUGCCAUGACACCGGACACCAGUAGCAAGAAAGCCUGCAAUCCAGUAUGCUUCUCUUUUCCUUUCUACAGGACUCCUAGAGUGGAGCUAGCUCCCGUCCUUCCAAAUGCAGCAAUGACAUUAAGGACAUUCGUUCACAUGGUUCACAGUUGGUGUUGGGAAGUUGUCCUACCUGGACAUUGCUGUCAGAGCCAUGGACUAAAAUACUCAAUUCUGGCCUAAAUAAAGCAAGCUCUCGGUGUUAAAGACUUUUUUUUUUUUUUUUUUUUUUUUGAGAUGGAGUCUUGCUCUGUUGCCCGGGCUGGAAUGUAAUGGUGUGAUCUCAGCUUACUGCAACCUCCACCUCCCAGGUUCAAGCAAUUCUCCUGCCUCAGCCUCCUGAGUAGCUGGGAUUACAGGUGCACGCCACCAUACCUGCUAAUUUUUGUAUUAUUAGCAGAGGCGGGGUUUCACCAUGUUGGCCAGGCUGGUCUCCAACUCCUGGCUUCAAGUGAUCCACCCGCCUCAGCCUCCCAAAGUGCUGGGAUUACAGGCGUGAGCCACAGUGCCUGGCCUUUUUGAGGAUUAUUAUAAGUAAAAGAAAAUUCAGACCACGAACAUAGCAUUCCUUUAGGUGUUUUGCAUAGAUAUAGUUUUUUGCUUUACUGUGGGUCCACUGGGAAAAGGUUUGUGGAAAUCUGAGCAGCUGAUGUUUGUGUGCUCAGAUUCUUUGGGACCUAUCUAUAAGACUUGGCGAGGCAAUACGGCUUCCACCAUUUCCCCAGGGAAAAAGUUACUCAAGGUUACUGAACUCAUGAAACCAUGUGGAUUUCCAGCAUGUGUUAUUAUAAUCUCACUAACCUUCCGAUUUUAAAACGCUGUAACUCUGUAAUUUUUUUCUGUGGUCAGCCCUUCCCAAAGGUAUCCACCUUCCAGUUUGUCCUGUGGAGCACGCUCUUGGCAGAGUUUGGCAUUGUUUGUUAUCAGGGGGUUUGAUUUAUGUAAAAUUGCAUUAAAUCACUAAUAAGGAAGACUUUGUUUAAUUUGUAUUUUUGGAGGGAAAGAAAUAUUUUAUGGUAUAACCAUCAUAAAUCU
rnacentral:lncRNA from 1 species